rnacentral:rRNA from 1 species
UAACAAUGAUUCCCCCAGUAACGGCGAGUGAACAGGGAAAAGCUCAAAGUUGGAACCUCCUGGCCCUAGGUUAGGCGGAUUGUAAACUAAAGCUCUUGGGUAGUACGGUUGGCCUGAUAAAAAAGUUCUCUGGAAAGAGGCGACAUAGAGGGUGAUAUCCCCGUCUUUGGUCAGAGCUCAAUCAUGCGUUUGCCCUUUAGCGAAGAGUCAGGUUGUUUGGGAAUGCAGCCUAAAAUGGGAGGUAAAUCUCUCCUAAAGCUAAAUAUUGACGAAAGACCGAUAGCGAACAAGUACCGUGAGGGAAAGAUGAAAAGCACUUUGAAAAGAGGGUCAAAAAGUACGUGAAAUUGCUGAAAGGGAACCGUAUGAAAUCAGUCUGAUGUGUUGGUAAUCAAUCUGGAUCUCGAUCUGGAUGCACUUGCCAAUGUAUUAGCCUGCGACAAUUUGAUCUGGAGGAAAAAAGAUGGGAGAAUGUGGCCUUGUCUUCGGGGAAGGUGUUAUAGCUCCUGUCAAAAUACUUUGGAUUGGAUUGAGGAUCGCAGCGAGCCGCAAGGUAAGGGUCUUACGCGCCUGAUCUGAUUAAAAAAAGAAUCUCUGCUUCGGGUGGUGCUUUUUUUAAUUGGGCCAACACGUGUAUUUCACCUUUUUCUCGCUUAGGUCGUAGGCAUAAUGAUUUUAUAUGACCCGUCUUGAAACACGGACCAA